rnacentral:rRNA from 1 species
GUAUAUUAUAUGUUCCGAAGAGCACGUCGGCAGUUGCCGCCCCGUUCGCGGUGUGCGCGCGGACCGCCUCGUGACUCCUUUCUUGCGAAAAUUUAAAACGACUCUCGGCAACGGAUAUCUCGGCUCUCGCAUCGAUGAAGAACGUAGCGAAAUGCGAUACUUGGUGUGAAUUGCAGAAUCCCGUGAACCAUCGAGUCUUUGAACGCAAGUUGCGCCCCAAGCCAUUAGGCCGAGGGCACGCCUGCCUGGGUGUCACGCAUCGUCGCCCCCUCCACCCCUUAGCCCAACAAAAGGCUAAGGGCGUUGCUGGGACGGAAAAUGGCCUCCCGUAGGCUCCCAGCUUGCGGUUGGCCCAAACGCGAGUCCUCGGCAACGAAUGGCGCCGUGACGAUCGGUGGUAAUGCUCCUAGCGUGCCUUGUCUCCAGUCGCGCGCGCCCGUUGUCCGUGCGGACCCCCUCGGACCCUUUUGUGCAUCGCUCGAACGAUGCUCGCAUCGCGACCCCAGGUCAGGCGGGAUUACCCGCUGAG